AUCGUACCGCUUAUUAAUGUCGUCACCGAUGAUGGCCAGGCGCCUUCCUACCAGGCUCCCGGUGCUGCCCAGAGGGAAGACGGCGUUAUGGAGAGGUCAGCAAGACUGGAACAGGUUUAUUUGGCGGUAAACAAAUCCCACCUUAUGAAGGAGCCAGCGGAGCCAGUGACCGCUCCACCGAGAGCCAGAAAACGAAACCGACUGACUCACAGUUUCAGUGAGACAGGGAAACCACAUAUUGAUGGGAGAUGCAGUUCAACGGGAAGUCCAAUACUCUUGUGUGCGUGCUGGAAAUAGGAACUGCAUGGGCACCAGACGGGAGAAAAGUGGUCUGGGAGAUGAAGACACUGAGACACUCGCAGAUGCAUGACUAACAUCCCCAAGCAACUAUUUAUCAGUUCAUGACUUGCUUCACAUGCAACAUCAAGUCCAGAGCUAAGAUAAACAACUAAGGACCAAAUCUCACACCUCUCCAGGUAUGUUACGUGAGUAUUAAACACACACGGACAGAUGAGAAAGCCCAGGUAAUCUGAGGAAGAGAACAGUUGCCAAUCUGACUCUGCAAACUGUGAGGCAGGGUGGCUGGGCUUUCCGUGCACAGCCCUGACACCCUGGACGUCCUCGCAAAGACCGACAUCAAAGCUCUCUCCAUCUCCCUAGUAAUGAUGAGUGGACAUAGCAAUACAUCGCUUUUCUCACCAAAGUACUCUGGGAUUCCAGCUAAUGUGGUCCACACAGGAGCUAAGCGUGACCACAUAAGCAAUAUUUUCAUCACCUGGACUAGCCCCUCUGCAGUGCAGCGGGGGCUGAGCUGCAUUUGGCAUGGUUACCUGCAAGUGUGAGGACAGCCACGUCCAUGGCGUGUCCCACAGAUCUAAGCCUCGACGGGAUUAUCCAAGCCAUUCCUGUAGCUGUGUGCGUACCCUGGCAGCACGUCUGAACAGGGAGGCACUGCCACCGCCAUGGUACAGAUGAGAACUGAAGGAGGGCAAGGUUACUUUUCUGAAGUCUGAGCCCUGUUUCCUGAGCCCAGCUCAGCACCGUUGGUCCUGGGCCUCCCACCCCAUACUGCCAGGAGUAUGAAGCUCCUGCCUUCGUCCACCAUGCCCUAAAACCACCAGAAGUGCAAACCGCCGCCCAACCUAGACAGAAGCAGCAGCAUGUUGUCCAUGCCCUGAGCAACGGCUGGUAGGACGAGGGCUCAGAACGAUGCUCAAGCGAGUCCUUGAGCAGCAGACAAUCUCUUCACUCCCUACCGCAUCCAAAGAUAAACAAACAGAGCAAGCGAGCCCUAAAUGAAAGCCAGGCUUAAUACCUGUUGAGGAAAACCGCCUUCCACCCCGUAAUCCCAUAGCGUGUGUUGGUGGAAGCUCCACAUUUCUGUUUCCACUGGAGUCCAUGAGGCUUCUCCCUAAGAGGCACGCAGAUCCCACCUCCAAAUUCCUGAUGGACCCCCUGAGUUUUGGGAAGCAGAGGGAUGUCAGUACUGCCAGGAUGGGCUCCUUCAAGGUCUGGGUGCUGAUGGUGAAGAUGGUACCUGUGCUGCAAGCCCCGAGCCAAUGUCUUCUGUUGACUUUGAUGCUGAAAGGGAGAAAGAGCAGCUCCUGAAAGCAGGUGAGGGUACAGGAUCCCCAAAAGCAGCGCUGUCCCAGUGGAACAGGCUCUUCAGUAUGAACAGACAUCGACGGACUUCACGUAAGCCUCACGCUCCGGGAAGCUUGCUGGAGCUGGAAAGCAAAGAGGAGCCUCUUUUGAAUGCAGCUGCUAAUACACCUGCAACACCGGUUCUCCCUCUCCCGCCUGCAAACCCCUCUGAAGUGGUCCUGGUCGAGAGGUUUGGUCACCCCUCGCGGCGUGAGUGUCGGGGUGGGCAGGCUCGUCUCCUGCGAACCCUUGGCAAAUCCAGGAUUCCAACCCCUGCCCCGGAGCUGCUGGAGCCUGGGUGGCCGUGGGUGGCACAGUCCGGCUGUGAAUCCUGGCCACGAUGCCAGCAGCGCGUACAUGCCGCCCACGGCUCAGUCCGGCUCACCGCAGCGUUGCUUAACUAUCCGGAGGAUGUGACUAAGGGAAAGUUGCUCUCUGCUCCCCUUGCUGCUCCAGAGCUGGGCUGCCCGCUGCUCCCCAGUGGGAAGGAGCUGGUCCAGCUCGCCUGGCUCCACAGCACCCGACUCAGUGGGAUGCGACGGCUCUCCGGGGAUGCUGUGCUACGGAGAGCGUUUGCAACUGUGAAAAGCAAUAGCAACCCCCUUGUUGUUCAUCAGGUUUUAUCCACAGAGUUUCUUCCCGGUUCCCUCCGGGGUCGCUGGGGAUGGCAAGGCGCCUCUCGCACUCGGGCAGGGUGGGAGGAUGCAGGCGGUGGCAGUGCCAAGCGCCCGGGGGCCGAGGUCGGAGCAUCGAUGUCUCAGCUCCCCGCGGAGCACAGCCACUGUGCCAAGACCACGUGCGUCUCCACGCCGAGUUUAUCACGGCCGUGCUGUCUCUGGGCUCUGGAUGAAGAGAGAAUAUGAGGCUUCAGGCAAAGCGCUUCUCACAUGCACCAGAUUUAUCAAAUUGAUUAAAAAAACCCCAACAGAUCCAGGGCUUGUUCCUAUAAUAGCUAUUGGAGCAUGUUGGACGUUAAUCAAACCGUCUGUUUGCCAUGUCCAGAGAAGCCAGCAUAAGCCAGCUUGUGUUUUUCAGGCAUUGGAAGAGCUGUCAAGCUAUAAUCUGUUUAGGACUAAAUAAUUUAUAAAUACACCUUCUGAUAAUGUGGUGUAUAAAUAUGGGAAGAGGGGGGAGGCUCUGCGACUGCCUGUAUCUAUCAGAGGGCUGAUAAAUCUGUGUGGGGGCUGAGUGUCAUCGUACGAGCUCCCAGCAAGAGGAGAGGGAAGGGACUCCCAGACCUUCCUCCUUUUCACCUUUGUCCCCAGCACAGAAUUGUUCUGUCCAGACCAUUCUCUCCAACUUUGCCCACUAGAUUUGCAGUAUUUCAAAUAACAGAGCUCCCAUCUCUUCCCUCUGGGAGGCACACUGUGGUCUCCCGAGUAUUUUUCCUAAUCAGGUAAGAAAGCUAACCCAUCGUGUCCUGGGUGUGAGUCCUGAAGCACAGGGGUCCUGCGAGCACCCCGAGAAGACUCUCAGGUCCUUGGCACGUCAGCACAGAGAGUGCUCAAGCGUGGCAGCAGACCGCUCUGCUGCUUCUAAGGUCCUGCAGGUCUGUGAUGAUGUGGCCAAGCAGUCAGUGUCUGGGGUCGAUUCCUGGCUGCGAGGACACGAUGAGAGUGUUAUUCCAAUUUGCUGUAGUACUCAGGGUGUCUGUCUCUCUGACGUAUUUCUUUCUCUAACCGAGGUUUUCUGAGGACAGAGCAGCAGAAACCAUUGGCUGCUUUGGGAGAAGCUGGGUACAGCUGGGAGCAAGUGGAGCGGGAACCCCUGGAAAAGGCUGAGAUCCAGCUCCUGGGAGAGGUGGGGAGCAGCCCCCGACAGACCACCCCACGUCGGCAGCCCUCCCGGAGGAGAGCUCAACGCUUCGUCUUUGCUCCCCAUCCCAGUACCGGGCGGGCUUAGGCUUGUCCCAAAGAGCUCCUCAGCUCCGGCUUUUUCCUCUUCUUUCCCCUAUGUUUCUCUUUAAUGAACGUACCACGUUUCCCUUUUUGCUUUCCCCUUUCCUGUUCCUUGGGAAGGACCUGUGAGUCUCACCCCCUGGCUGGCACAGCCUGGCUUUGGUUUGAAUUUUUUUUUUUUUUUAGAUUAAGCAUUUAGUGUGAGUAAAUUGUUCUCACUUCUCCCUCUGAUCAUUCACUUUCCCUUAUUAAACAGUUCUGUGUUGAA